UACGUAGGGCGCAAGCGUUGUCCGGAAUUAUUGGGCGUAAAGAGCUCGUAGGCGGCUUGUCACGUCGGGUGUGAAAGCCCGGGGCUUAACCCCGGGUCUGCAUUCGAUACGGGCUGGCUAGAGUGUGGUAGGGGAGAUCGGAAUUCCUGGUGUAGCGGUGAAAUGCGCAGAUAUCAGGAGGAACACCGGUGGCGAAGGCGGAUCUCUGGGCCAUUACUGACGCUGAGGAGCGAAAGCGUGGGGAGCAGACAGG
rnacentral:rRNA from 1 species